rnacentral:lncRNA from 1 species
GUCCUCAGGAACGAGAGCCAAGGAUAAGUGACUCUUCUUAUAGCACAAGUAGGGAAACAAGUCAAUUGUUUAUUAACCCUACUGAGUACUUCAGUUUUAUAUCAAAACAUUUUGAAGAAAUCAUCUAUUGAAAUCUUUUUUUGAAAUAUUUAUGUUAAUAAAUAAAAGUCUAUUUUGAUUAUUCAUCACGAUAAAUGUUUAAGAGCUUGUUACAUUAAAAUUUCUAAAAUGUCGAUCUUUUAAAUGCUGCAUAACGAUAAAAAAAAAACAAUGGAAAAUUCAGAAUAUAUUUAAUUUUUUUUUUGUAGUCACCCAUUUCCGAAGUACCUUAACAUGUUAUAAUUUCCAAAAAUACCACUUCUCCAUAACUUAUUGAUGUAGCUUUUGGGGCAGUUACCAGAAUUUCAAUACAUGUUUAAAGGU